rnacentral:misc_RNA from 1 species
GAUGAAGAACGUAGUGAAAUGCGAUAAGUAAUGUGAAUUGCAGAAUUCAGUGAAUCAUUGAAUCUUUGAACGCACCUUGCGCUCCUUGGUAUUCCGAGGAGCAUGCCUGUUUGAGUGUCAUUAAUAUAUCAACCUUCUCUUUUUUGAGUUGUUUGGAUGUGGGGGUUUGCUGGCCUCUUAAAUGAUUCAGCUCCCCUGAAAUGCAUUAGCAGAACAACCUGUUCAUUGGCGUGAUAAUUAUCUAUGCUAUUGAAUGUGAGGGCAGUUCAGCUUUCUAACCGUCCUUGGACAAUUCAUCAUUAAUGUGACCUCAAAUCAGGUAGGACUACCCGCUGAACUUAAGCAUAUCAAUAAGCGGAGGA